GACGGAGGAUGCAAGCGUUAUCCGGAAUGAUUGGGCGUAAAGCGUCCGCAGGUGGCAGUUCAAGUCUGCUGUCAAAGACCGGGGCUUAACUUCGAAAAGGCAGUGGAAACUGAACAGCUAGAGUAUGGUAGGGGCAGAGGGAAUUCCUGGUGUAGCGGUGAAAUGCGUAGAGAUCAGGAAGAACAUCGGUGGCGAAGGCGCUCUGCUGGACCAUAACUGACACUCAGGGACGAAAGCUAGGGGAGCGAAUGGG
rnacentral:rRNA from 1 species